rnacentral:rRNA from 1 species
AUGUCGAAGCGAGGGAGGGGAGGCUCCGCGGGGAACAAGUUCCGGAUGUCGCUGGGGCUGCCGGUGGCAGCGACGGUGAACUGCGCCGACAACACGGGCGCCAAGAACCUCUACAUCAUCUCCGUCAAGGGCAUCAAGGGCCGCCUCAACCGCCUCCCGUCCGCCUGCGUCGGCGACAUGGUCAUGGCCACCGUCAAGAAGGGGAAGCCCGACCUCCGGAAGAAGGUCAUGCCCGCCGUCAUCAUCCGCCAGCGCAAGCCCUGGCGCCGCAAGGACGGCGUCUUCAUGUACUUCGAAGACAAUGCUGGAGUGAUCGUGAAUCCCAAGGGUGAGAUGAAAGGAUCUGCGAUCACUGGACCCGUCGGAAAGGAGUGUGCUGACCUUUGGCCCAGGAUCGCCAGCAACGCCAAUGCCAUCGUUUGA